rnacentral:rRNA from 1 species
AAGGUAGCGAAAUUCCUUGUCGGGUAAGUUCCGACCUGCACGAAUGGCGUAACGAUCUCCACACUGUCUCGGCCAGAGACUCGGUGAAAUUGAAGUCGCGGUGAAAAUGCCGUGUACCCGCAGAAAGACGGAAAGACCCUGUGCACCUUUACUAUAGCUUGACAUUGGGAUUUGAGCCUGCAUGUGUAGCAUAGGUGGGAGCCUGUGAACCCUGUACGCCAGUAUGGGGGGAGGCAACGUUGAAAUACCACCCUUGUUUGUUCAGGUCCCUAACUCUUCGCCGUUACCCGGUAAGAGGACAGUGUCUGGUGGGUAGUUUGACUGGGGCGGUCGCCUCCCAAAAUGUAACGGAGGCAUGCAAAGGUUCCCUCAGGCUGAUUGGAAACCAGCCGUCGAGUGCAAACGCAGAAGGGAGCUUGACUGCAAGAGAGACAUCUCGAGCAGGUACGAAAGUAGGUGUUAGUGAUCCGGUGAUCCCGAAUGGAAGGGUCAUCGCUCAUUGGAUAAAAGGUACGCCGGGGAUAACAGGCUGAUCGCAUCCAAGAGUUCACAUCGACGAUGCGGUUUGGCACCUCGAUGUCGGCUCAUCACAUCCUGGGGCUGAAGCAGGUCCCAAGGGUACGGCUGUUCGCCGUUUAAAGUGGUACGCGAGCUGGGUUUAAAACGUCGUGAGACAGUUUGGUCCCUAUCUUCUGUGGGCGUAGGAGAAUUGAAAGGGCCUGUCCCUAGUACGAGAGGACCGGGAUGGACACACCACUGGUGGACCUGUUGUCGUGCCAACGGCACAGCAGGGUAGCUAUGUGUGGAAGGGAUAACCGCUGAAAGCAUCUAAGCGGGAAGCCUGCCUUAAGAUAAGUUCUCCCUGACGCAAGUCCUGAAGGGCCGAGGUAGACGACCUCGUCGAUAGGCUGGAGGUGGAAGCCCUGUGAGGGGUGGAGCUGACCAGUACUAAUAGCCCGUGCGUCUUGUUUCU